rnacentral:rRNA from 1 species
UACGUAGGGCGCGAGCGUUGUCCGGAAUUAUUGGGCGUAAAGAGCUCGUAGGCGGCCUGUUGCGUCUGCUGUGAAAUCCCGGGGCUUAACCCCGGGCGUGCAGUGGAUACGGGCAGGCUGGAGGCAGGCAGGGGAGAAUGGAAUUCCCGGUGUAGCGGUGAAAUGCACAGAUAUCGGGAGGAACACCGGUGGCGAAGGCGGUUCUCUGGGCCUGUUCUGACGCUGAGGAGCGAAAGCGUGGGGAGCGAACAGG